rnacentral:sRNA from 1 species
GACAUGCUGCUAGAGGUUGGGUGGUCAGACACUGUGAUCCCGGGUGCUGUGCCCGCACUACGGGAAGGGGAAGCAGCGCGUGGGUCUCGCAUCAGGAGGCAAGGCCAGGACCCGCUGACCCAUGCCUCCUGCCGCGGUUAGAGCCCAAGUUUGUCAAGAACGACGUGGGCGGCCAGCGCAGCCUGGUCAACAAGUGGACGACGUUCCUGAAGGCGCGGCUGGUGUGCUCGGUGCCCGGCGUCGAGGGCGACACCCACUUCGAUCAGCUCCUGUCCCAGCAAGACCUUUGGCACCUUCAGUUCCACCAAGGACUUCCCAGACGAUGUCAUCCAGUUUGCGCGGAACCACCCCCUCAUGUACAACCCUGUCCUGCCCAUUGGGGGGCGCCCUCUUUUCCUACAAGUUGGAGCCAAUUACACCUUCACUCAAAUUGCCGCGGACCGGGUUGCAGCCGCUGACGGACACUAUGACGUCCUCUUCAUUGGCACAGACGCUGGCACGGUGCUGAAGGUGAUCUCGGUCCCCAAGGGCAGUAGGCCCAGCGCAGAGGGGCUGCUCCUGGAGGAGCUGCACGUGUUUGAGGUGAGGCCUCGCCCCCAGUCGCCCGGGACCCCCCCACCCCCCUAAGCCCUGACCCCGUCGCCCCUCCUCCCUCUCAGGACUCGGCCGCUGUCACGAGCAUGCAAAUUUCUUCCAAGAGGGCGGUUCCGGCGGCAAGACGUAAGGAAUGGCGACCCCAGCACGUUGUGCUCCGGAGACUCGUCUCGUCCCGCGCUGCUGGAACACAAGGUGUUCGGCGUGGAGGGCAGCAGCGCCUUUCUGGAGUGUGAGCCCCGGUCGCUGCAGGCGCGCGUGGAGUGGACUUUCCAGCGCGCAGGGGUGACAGCCCACACCCAGGUGCUGGCAGAGGAGCGCACCGAGCACACCGCCCGGGGACUACUGCUGCGCAGGCUGCGGCGCCGGGACUCGGGCGUGUACUUGUGCGCCGCCGUCGAGCAGGGCUUUACGCAACCGCUGCGUCGCCUGUCGCUGCACGUGUUGAGUGCUACGCAGGCCGAACGACAGGCGCGGGCCGAGGAGGCUGCGCCCGCCGCGCCGCCGGGCCCCAAACUCUGGUACCGGGACUUUCUGCAGCUGGUGGAGCCGGGCGGCGGUGGCAGCGCGAACUCCCUGCGCAUGUGCCGCCCGCAGCCUGCGCUGCAGUCACUGCCCCUGGAGUCGCGGAGAAAGGGCCGUAACCGGAGGACCCACGCCCCUGAGCCUCGCGCUGAGCGGGGGCCGCGCAGCGCAACGCACUGGUGACUGGACUGUCCCCACGCCGGGAACCAAGCAGGAGACGACAGGCGAGAGAGGAGCCAGACAGACCCUGAAAAGAAGGACGGGUUGGGGCCGGGCACAUUGGGGGUCACCGGCCGAUGGAGACACCAACCGACAGGCCCUGGCUGAGGGCAGCUGCGCGGGCUUAUUUAUUAACAGGAUAACCCUUGAAUGUAGCAGCCCCGGGAGGGCGGCACAGGUCGGGCCCAGGAUUCAGCCGGAGGGAAGGGACGGGGAAGCCGGGCUCCAGAGCAACGACCAGGGCCGAGGAGGUGCCUGGAGUGCCCACCCUGGGAGACAGACCCCACCUCCUUGGGUAGUGAGCAGUGAGCAGAAAGCUGUGAACAGGCUGGGCUGCUGGAGGUGGGGCGAGGCAGGCCGACUGUACUAAAGUAACGCAAUAAACGCAUUAUCAGCCAAAGCUGGAAUGGCCCCAGCAGAAAACCCCAGUCCUCGGCCUUGCUAUGUGGUCUUGGGCACCUUACUAGCGGUGUCAGGGCCCGAGUUUCUCCUGUCCAAGGUUGCCUGGUGAGGAUUAAAGGUGGUUCCGGCCAGGCGCGGUGGCUCACGCCUGUAAUCCCAACACUUUCGGAGGCCCAGGCGGACGGAUCACGAGGUCAGGAGAUGGAAACCAUCCCGGCUAACACGGUGAAACCCCGUCUGUACUAAAAAUACAAAAAAUUAGUCGGGCGUGGUGGCGGGCGCCUGUAAUUCUAGCUACUCAGGAGGCUGAGGCAGGAGAAUUGCUUGAACCUGGGAGGUGGAGGUUGCAAUGAGCCUAGAUCUCGCCGCUGCACUCCAGCCUGGGCGACAGAGCGAGACUCC